rnacentral:rRNA from 1 species
CUGCGGUAUUUUGACCGUGCUAAGGUAGCAUAAUCAAUUGUUUUUUAAUUGAAAACUAGUAUGAACGGUUUAAUUUACUUAAUUAGUUUGUAAUUUUUAAUAGUAAGUUAAAUAUAAAGUAAGAAUUCUUUAAUAAAUUAGGGGACGAUAAGACCCUAAAAGCUUUAUGAUUGGCAUUUAAUUAGUGAUAGCGGUGUUAUUAAUUCACUGGGGCAGUGAGUUUAGGUAUAUUUAAGUAUAAUUAAAAGCUCCUUUAAAUAAAGAUUUCAUGUAUAAGUUACUUUAGGGAUAACAGUGCAAUAUAUUUGGGGAGACCAUAUCUAUAAAUAUGAUUGCAACCUCGAUGUUGAAUUAAAAUA